rnacentral:rRNA from 1 species
AUGCCAGGAAGAAAGAAGACAAAAAGAAGAAAAGAGGAGGGUGAAGAAACUAAAAAUGGAAAGCUGACAAAGAAGGGCUGUAGAAUAACAUGCUCUUUAUGUGGAAAUUUUGAUCAUAACAAAAGGAAAUGUCUUCAGAAUCCAGAAGCUGGAAAGAAAGUCAAUGGGAGCUACACCAGAGCAGCAAAAAGAAUAAGGAAAAGGCAGCAAAAGGAAAGCACUGAGAUGGCACAGGAACAAUCAUCAAGGAAGAAGAAGCAACAGUGUCCAGUGGCACCACCUCCGGGAGCAACAUCUUCUCAGCCAGCUCCUACAACUCAAACAUCACAUGCUCCAGCACAGCAGAGACAAGUUCGCAAAGGAAAGAAGAGUAUAAAGAAAACAACACCAGGAACAUCUUCUCAGCCAAGAGCAUCUUCUCAGCCAAGAACAUCUCAGCCAAGAGCAUCUUCACAUCUAGCAACAUCUCAGCCAGGAGCAUCUUCACAUCCAGCAACAUCUUUCCAGCCAAGAACAUCUUGUCAACCAAUAACAUCUUCUCAGCCAGGAGCAUCUUCACAAUCAGGAGCAUCUUCUCAAGUGCCACAGAAUGACAGGCUCUAUUGGCUUAUAACUGGAACUGUUAGAAAGUGA